rnacentral:rRNA from 1 species
GACGAACGCUGGCGGCGUGCCUAAUACAUGCAAGUUGAGCGAUGAAGAUUGGUGCUUGCACCAAUUUGAAGAGCAGCGAACGGGUGAGUAACGCGUGGGGAAUCUGCCUUUGAGCGGGGGACAACAUUUGGAAACGAAUGCUAAUACCGCAUAACAACUUUAAACAUAAGUUUUAAGUUUGAAAGAUGCAAUUGCAUCACUCAAAGAUGAUCCCGCGUUGUAUUAGCUAGUUGGUGAGGUACAGGCUCACCAAGGCGAUGAUACAUAGCCGACCUGAGAGGGUGAUCGGCCACAUUGGGACUGAGACACGGCCCAAACUCCUACGGGAGGCAGCAGUAGGGAAUCUUCGGCAAUGGACGAAAGUCUGGCCGAGCAACGCCGCGUGAGUGAAGAAGGUUUUCGGAUCGUAAAACUCUGUUGGUAGAGAAGAACGUUGGUGAGAGUGGAAAGCUCAUCAAGUGACGGUAACUACCCAGAAAGGGACGGCUAACUACGUG